GACGAACGCUGGCGGCGUGCUUAACACAUGCAAGUCGAACGGAAAGGCCCUGCUUUUGUGGGGUGCUCGAGUGGCGAACGGGUGAGUAACACGUGAGUAACCUGCCCUUGACUUUGGGAUAACUUCAGGAAACUGGGGCUAAUACCGGAUAGGAGCUCCUGCUGCAUGGUGGGGGUUGGAAAGUUUCGGCGGUUGGGGACGGACUCGCGGCUUAUCAGCUUGUUGGUGGGGUAGUGGCUUACCAAGGCUUUGACGGGUAGCCGGCCUGAGAGGGUGACCGGCCACAUUGGGACUGAGAUACGGCCCAGACUCCUACGGGAGGCAGCAGUGGGGAAUAUUGCACAAUGGGCGGAAGCCUGAUGCAGCAACGCCGCGUGCGGGAUGACGGCCUUCGGGUUGUAAACCGCUUUCGCCUGUGACGAAGCGUGAGUGACGGUAAUGGGUAAAGAAGCACCGGCUAACUACGUGCCAGCAGCCGCGGUGAUACGUAGGGUGCGAGCGUUGUCCGGAUUUAUUGGGCGUAAAGGGCUCGUAGGUGGUUGAUCGCGUCGGAAGUGUAAUCUUGGGGCUUAACCCCUGAGCGUGCUUUCGAUACGGGUUGACUUGAGGAAGGUAGGGGAGAAUGGAAUUCCUGGUGGAGCGGUGGAAUGCGCAGAUAUCAGGAGGAACACCAGUGGCGAAGGCGGUUCUCUGGGCCUUUCCUGACGCUGAGGAGCGAAAGCGUGGGGAGCGAACAGGCUUAGAUACCCUGGUAGUCCACGCUGUAAACGGUGGGUACUAGGUGUGGGGUCCAUUCCACGGGUUCCGUGCCGUAGCUAACGCUUUAAGUACCCCGCCUGGGGAGUACGGCCGCAAGGCUAAAACUCAAAGGAAUUGACGGGGCCCCGCACAAGCGGCGGAGCAUGCGGAUUAAUUCGAUGCAACGCGUAGAACCUUACCUGGGUUUGACAUGGAUCGGGAGCGCUCAGAGAUGGGUGUGCCUCUUUUGGGGUCGGUUCACAGGUGGUGCAUGGCUGUCGUCAGCUCGUGUCGUGAGAUGUUGGGUUAAGUCCCGCAACGAGCGCAACCCUUGUUCACUGUUGCCAGCACGUUAUGGUGGGGACUCAGUGGAGACCGCCGGGGUCAACUCGGAGGAAGGUGGGGAUGACGUCAAGUCAUCAUGCCCCUUAUGUCCAGGGCUUCACGCAUGCUACAAUGGCUGGUACAGAGAGUGGCGAGCCUGUGAGGGUGAGCGAAUCUCGGAAAGCCGGUCUCAGUUCGGAUUGGGGUCUGCAACUCGACCUCAUGAAGUCGGAGUCGCUAGUAAUCGCAGAUCAGCAACGCUGCGGUGAAUACGUUCCCGGG
rnacentral:rRNA from 1 species